rnacentral:rRNA from 1 species
UGGGGAAUAUUGCACAAUGGGCGCAAGCCUGAUGCAGCAACGCCGCGUGCGGGAUGACGGCCUUCGGUUGUAAACCGCUUUAGUAAGGAAGAAGGGAAGCUUGCUUCUUGACGGUACUUGCAGAAAAAGGACCGGCUAACUACGUGCCAGCAGCCGCGGUAAUACGUAGGGUCCGAGCGUUGUCCGGAAUUAUUGGGCGUAAAGAGCUCGUAGGCGGUUUGUCGCGUCUGCUGUGAAAUCCCGAGGCUCAACCUCGGGUCUGCAGUGGGUACGGGCAGACUGGAGUGCGGUAGGGGAGAAUGGAAUUCCUGGUGUAGCGGUGGAAUGCGCAGAUAUCAGGAGGAACACCGAUGGCGAAGGCAGUUCUCUGGGCCGUAACUGACGCUGAGGAGCGAAAGCGUGGGGAGCGAACAGGAUUAGAUACCCUGGUAGUCCACGCCGUAAACGUUGGGCGCUAGAUGUGGGGACCUUUCCACGGUUUCCGUGUCGUAGCUAACGCAUUAA